CAGUGGCGAACGGGUGAGUAACACGUGGGAAAUCUGCCCUGCACUCUGGGACAAGCCUUGGAAACGAGGUCUAAUACCGGAUAUGACCUGCUCCUGCAUGGGGGUGGGUGGAAAGCUCCGGCGGUGCAGGAUGAUCCCGCGGCCUAUCAGCUUGUUGGUGGGGUAAUGGCCUACCAAGGCGACGACGGGUAGCCGGCCUGAGAGGGCGACCGGCCACACUGGGACUGAGACACGGCCCAGACUCCUACGGGAGGCAGCAGUGGGGAAUAUUGCACAAUGGGCGAAAGCCUGAUGCAGCGACGCCGCGUGAGGGAUGACGGCCUUCGGGUUGUAAACCUCUUUCAGCAGGGAAGAAGCGCAAGUGACGGUACCUGCAGAAGAAGCACCGGCUAACUACGUGCCAGCAGCCGCGGUAAUACGUAGGGUGCGAGCGUUGUCCGGAAUUAUUGGGCGUAAAGAGCUCGUAGGCGGCCUGUCGCGUCGGAUGUGAAAGCCCGGGGCUUAACCCCGGGUCUGCAUUCGAUACGGGCAGGCUAGAGUGUGGUAA
rnacentral:rRNA from 1 species